rnacentral:tRNA from 1 species
GGGGGUUUAGCUCAGUGGUAAAGCGCUUGCCUAGCAAGCACAAGGCCCUGGGUUCGGUCCCCAGCUCCG